rnacentral:rRNA from 1 species
ACGGGAGGCAGCAGUGAGGAAUAUUGGUCAAUGGAGGCAACUCUGAACCAGCCAUCUCGCGUGAAGGAAUACGGCCCUAUGGGUCUUAAACUUCUUUUAUAGGGGGAUAAAGUGAGGCAUGCAUGCCUUUUUGUAGGUACCCUAUGAAUAAGCAUCGGCUAACUCCGUGCCAGCAGCCGCGGUAAUACGGAGGAUGCGAGCGUUAUCCGGAUUUAUUGGGUUUAAAGGGUGCGCAGGCGGCCUUUUAAGUCAGUGGUGAAAUCGUGGUGCUCAACGCCAUCGUGCCAUUGAUACUGGAGGGCUUGAUUACGGUCGAGGUUGGCGGAAUUCGUCGUGUAGCGGUGAAAUGCAUAGAUAUGACGAAGAACACCGAUUGCGUAGGCAGCUGACCAGGCCGACAAUGACGCUCAUGCACGAAAGUGCGGGGAUCGAACAGGAUUAGAUACCCUGGUA